UCUUCUCCUUCUUCACACGUGAAACACACCCCCCGUCUGAAAUUUUCUUCUCCUUUUCGCCGCCUUCAGCCCGUCGCCCAGCCGCCCCGAUCUCCUCCAUCGCUCGUCCAGACCUCUGUCGGUUUGAGCUCGCCGCUCCGCCCAGCCUCGCGCUGCCUCAUCUGCACCGUCGCAUCUGUGGCGCUAUUUCCAGUCGAAGCCGCGCCUCUUGCAGACCCAGCCGCCAGCCUUCUCUCCAGCCACGUCUCUCCCUCGUCAUCAGGCCAGGCGCGUUGUGGCGCUUCCCCGCCUUCUUCUGACCUAUACUAGUUGUCGGAUUUGAACCAGAUUCGAACCAUUUCUCUCUCUCAGCCAUCUGCCCGGAUUUGAACCAAAUCCAAAGCCACUCGGUCGUCGGUCAUGCUUCGAACGUCGUGCCCAACUGCCGUCAUCAACGUUUCUUCAGCCAAGACACUACUGCCAAGAGUUUCUAUCAGAAUCUUGAAUAAAGGAUUAUUGAAGUUGUUAUCCAGCCAACUAAAGGCCUAGUCUACGAAUUUUGGUGAAGGAUUUGGAUCUUGAGGUUUCUUGGUGUUUUCGUUUGGGAGUUUUAAGUUUGAUCCCGCAGAUUGUUUGUUUGGUUUGAUUCAACAUUUUAUUGGGCAAGGAAGAGGCUAAGUUUGCUAGUUCCUAGAGUUUUCGAUCAGAGAACAAUGGUAGGUCAUACUGAUGAGGAGGCAAUACUGGAGUUCUUACAGUCUGAGCCCAUUGGUGCAUCAUCCUCUGUGGGAGAUAAUACAGAUUUUGGUAAUACGACUACUAGGGUUGGAUGUGGAUACUCUCGAAAUGUUGAUCUGGAUAAAUAUGUUCAACAAUUUAGGAGAAUUCCUAUCGAGAUUGACCCUGAAUGAUAGAAACCAACUUGCAACAAUGCAACGAGGUUUAGCAAUGCUAUUGGUACCAACGUUCGGGAAUCUUUUUCCGUUCGUUAUGGAUCUUGGAGAGAAGUACCAAUAGAAACACGAGAGCUUGUUAAAGGUCGAUUAUUGACUUGACCAGCAAACUAGUCAAUGAUUUCAUCGAUGUACAGAUGAAAAAUUCGUUCAAAGAGUAUAGGGGGAACUACACAAACACUAUAAGAAAUAUGCAACUCCUGAAGAGACACAAGCACACCUACCUGAUCGUCUUAAGGACAACAUAGAGGAUUGGCACUUUCUAUGCAACAAGUUUGAAUCCGCCGACUGGAAAAAAGUGGCAGAGACGAAUCAGAGGAACAGGUCAGUCUUAAAGUACACUUAUACAGCUGGUUCUAAAACUUUUAUACGCAUAAGAGAAUCCACGAAAGGACCUGGCGGUGAACCGAUGGACCUAGUGGAUUUAUUUAGUGAAACACACUGUAGGAGUGAUAACUCUUUUGUUAAUCAUGCUGCGAAUGAUGCAUAUGUGUUGGGCCCAGGAGUGGGCCUUGGUAGGACACCGAAGGUUAAAAAAGUGAAAAAAUCUAAGGGAUCAUCACCCAGUACAUCUUCAUCAAGAAUUAUAGAGGAGCAGCAACAAGAAAUAGAAUCCUUAAAGGCUAGAUUGGCUAGAUUGGACGAACAGGACGCCAAAAGACAAGCUGAGAUGGAGGAUAUGAAAGCUAUGCUCUUACAACUCAUGAAAGAUAGAUCGAACUAGGUAGGAGCUCUUCGACUUUCAUAGUAAACUUAAUUGUAAAAUUGUGUAUGUUGUUAUCUUGCAGUUAUGGUAGUAACAUAGGCGUAUAGUUAAUGUUGUUAUCUUGCAGUUAUGAUAACAACAUAAGCGUAUAGUAAAUGUUGUUAUCUUGAAGUUGAGUUUGAAUUUUAUUUUAUGCUAAAUUAGAUGAUUGUGUAUGUGUUGUUAUCCUGCAGUUAUGGUAAUAACAUAAACGUAUAGGUGUUUCAGAUGGUUUGUAUAUUACAAUUGAGAAUAAGUUUGGGGGAGGGGGUGUUUAAGUUUGAUUGUGUUAGUUAGUUUGUUUGUUUUAGUUGAUUGUGAAAGUUAGUUUGUUUUAGUUGAUUGUGUAAGUUAGUUUGUUUAUUACCAUUGAGAAUAAUUUUUUUGGGGAGGGGGGUGUUUCGGUUGAUUGUAUAAGUUAGUUUGAUUGUGUAAGUUAGUUUGUUUCAGUUGAUUGCAUAUCUAUAUUUAAGUACAAGUAUGUUAAGUUUAAGUUAUGAUUGAGUUGGUUUAUUGGUUUGUUUAUGAUUGAGUUCUUAGUUUGUAGGUUUCUUUCGAUUGAGGUAACUUGGUUUGUUU